rnacentral:other from 1 species
GAUUCUCCGCGAUACCCGAAUAGGUUAAAAGAGCUGAGGGAACAGACGAGAGAUGGGAGUCUGGCGAGGGUAUGGUGAGCAUGCCUCAAGGGCUCUGAAAGGUCCAAGAGGAAGCCUAAGUACUCUCAUGAAGACACCCACCUGUUAAAGAGCCUCAGUAGCUCUUAAAACCAUAGGUAUCGCGGGGAUAUA